rnacentral:rRNA from 1 species
AUUGAACGCUGGCGGAAUGCUUUACACAUGCAAGUCGAACGGUAGAGGGGGCAACCCCUCGAGAGUGGCGAACGGGUGAGUAGUAUAUCGGAACGUGCCCAGUCGUGGGGGAUAACGUAGCGAAAGUUACGCUAAUACCGCAUACGAUCUAAGGAUGAAAGCGGGGGAUCGCAAGACCUCGCGCGAUUGGAGCGGCCGAUAUCAGAUUAGGUAGUUGGUGGGGUAAAGGCUCACCGAGCCAACGAUCUGUAGCUGGUCUGAGAGGACGACCAGCCACACUGGAACUGAGACACGGUCCAGACUCCUACGGGAGGCAGCAGUGGGGAAUUUUGGACAAUGGACGCAAGUCUGAUCCAGCCAUUCCGCGUGCAGGAUGAAGGCCCUCGGAUUGUAAACUGCUUUUGUACGGAACGAAAAGGUCUCUCUUAAUACGGGGGGCUCAUGACGGUACCGUAAGAAUAAGCACCGGCUAACUACGUGCCAGCAGCCGCCGUAA